GUCUGAAGUGACAUGUGGUUGAUGGCGUUAACUCUUCUGUAGCCAGCCACGCUACUGUCACUGGUGAGAU
ensembl:miRNA gga-mir-1627 gga-mir-1627